GUCGGGCUGGAACCGUGCUGGAGGCAAAAAGCUCUAUAUUUUGCUCUGCAUGCAUCCAUCGCACCAGGCGGUGCUGCUGUAGAGGUAUUUACAGCAUGUCUGUGACGGUAGGUACCUCAUCAGCCGGUGGGGAAAAAAAGAAGGAAACCAGAAAAAUAAUCGAGCGUUCAUACAAAAUAAGAAAAAAAACAGCGACAGAGCCAGAGCCAGAAGUAGCAACAACCCAACAACAGUACAGCUACAGCAACAUAAAAAGGUUGUGGUUCGCGGGCUUCGCGGGCGAUCGCAUGCGAGAGAAUCUGACCGACUGGCUGUCUGUACAUUCGCUAGCCUGGUGAUUUCCGAGGCUUUCCAGGGUGGUAUGCAAUACUAACAUUCGGUAAUAAUUUAACCCUUAAAAGCGCAAUGUUGUUUUAAAACAACAUACCUAAAAACGCUCCAAAAUAAUUGACCUUCACUUUUAUUAUAAUUAUUAAUUUAUUUUUUAAAUCAGUUUUUUAUUGUCGUGCGCCUUUGUUACAAAAAUAAGAGAAAUUAAUUAUUACAAAGUAUUACCACUGCACGAUACACAUAUAACCUUACAAAUGCACAAAUUAGGAACAUCACAAAUUGACAAACACGACACUUAACAUAAAUGUGCCCUGUUAUCUAGGUGGAUAACAUCUCCCGAUUACAGGAUGACGAGGUUUCAUUUAUUGGUUUAGGUCCGUCAGUCAUCCUGGAAUUGUAUUUUAUUUGGCAGUUUGCCUUUUAGUUCACAGCAUUUGUCGCUGUGUUCAUAGCUUGGUUUUGUCUAGGAAAACUAAUCCUAAUCGGGCAUCCCGUUUCGGGAUUCGAUACUUGAGUUCAACAACUUGAAGUCCGUGGCAGGGAAUGUGGUUUACAUCUCUAGUACUUGAACGCUGCCCGAAAUAGCCUGAAAGUUGGCAAUCAAAGUGGGAUUGCAUUUCAUUUGCCUCUAUUUUCCAGAACCCUAUGUGUAUUAAAAUUAUGGGCAUAUAUACAAGUUAAAAUGAAACAUACAACACAAAGAACGAACGAAUAAUAAACUUAACACAUCAAACAAUUAACCUGUCUUAUAAUCGUAACAAAUAUUUAUACCCGUAACACCUUUAAGGGUUAAAAAAAUCUUUGUUAGUUUUUUUUUUCAGAAAGGCUAUUAGUCGAAAUUUGAACAACGCUGCUGAUUGUGCUGAGGUGCUCUCCAUUAACGACGUAAAAUAUGUAUCACGCAUCUAACUACAAAGCCAGCAUAGUUUAGUUUCAAAUACAAAAAGGCUUACUCGCUUUAUAGAUUUCCAAUCACGACUCAUCCUGGCGUAGAAAUUGUCGCUUGCCAAAUAAGCGUAAAACAUAAAGCUCUUUGCGUAGCUUCCGUUUACAUUCCUUCAAGAAUUUCAUGCAUGUGGUUUGGGGAUCAUUGGUUUGUUUUUUGUCGCGUUCAGUUAAUUUCUGUGUGGAAUGGGCUUAAAGCUUCUGCUCCCUAAUGGGGUGGAGACCCCGAGCAAAGUCUGACAGCAAAUAGAAAACUAAUUUUGAUGUUGUGAUAUUGCAAAUUAUGAUAACUUAGGUUGUUGUCCUUUUGGUCGUUUUAACGUUUAAAACAUCAAAGUUGAGAGCAGAAAAAUGUUCCUGUGACAGCAAGUUGAAAA